rnacentral:ncRNA from 1 species
CAAAGGCUUGGUCCUGACUUUACUAUCAGCUUUAGCCCAAUUUAUACAUGCAAGUAUCCGCAUCCCUGUGAGAAUGCCCUCAAUCCCCCGCCCGGGGACGAGGAGCAGGCAUCAGGCACCCUAUAGUUAGCCCAAGACGCCUUGCUACGCCACACCCCCAAGGGAACUCAGCAGUAAUAAACAUUAAGCCAUAAGUGAAAACUUGACUUAGUUAGCGCUAAGAGGGUCGGUAAAAUUCGUGCCAGCCACCGCGGUUAUACGAAAGACCCUAGUUGAUAGCCACGGCGUAAAGGGUGGUUAAGGUAAAUAAUAAAUAAAGCUAAAGGGCCUCUAAGCCGUCGCACGCAUUCCGAGAGCUCGAAACCCAAGCACGAAAGUAGCUUUAAAAUAAAACACACCUGACCCCACGAAAGCUAAGAAACAAACUGGGAUUAGAUACCCCACUAUGCUUAGCCUUAAACCAAGAUGUAUCCUUACACACACAUCCGCCCGGGUACUACGAGCACAGUUAAAACCCAAAGGACUUGGCGGUGCCUCAGACCCACCUAGAGGAGCCUGUUCUAGAACCGAUAAACCCCGUUAAACCUCACCACUUCUUGUUUUUCCCGCCUAUAUACCGCCGUCGUCAGCUUACCCCGUGAAGGCCUAGUAGUAAGCAAAAUUGGUACACCCAAAAACGCCAGGUCGAGGUGUAGCGAAUGAAGUGGGAAGAAAUGGGCUACAUUUUCUACAAACAGAAUAUUACGAAUGGCACUCUGAAAAUAUGCCUGAAGGUGGAUUUAGUAGUAAAAAGCAAAUAGUGUGUCCUUUUGAAUUAGGCUCUGAGGCGCGCACACACCGCCCGUCACUCUCCCCUCAUACAUUAAAACUCCAACUAAACAAUUACUAAUGACCUUAACCUUCUACACGGGGAGGCAAGUCGUAACAUGGUAAGUGUACCGGAAGGUGCACUUGGAAUAAU